AAUGAACGUUGGCGGCGUGGAUUAGGCAUGCAAGUCGUACGGGUCGGUGUAGCAAUACAACGGCAAGUGGCGAAAGGGAGAGUAACACGUAGAUACCUACCCUCUGGUCGGGGAUACCGCGGCAUAACCGCAAGUAAUACCCGAUAAAAUCUCCGGAUCAAAGGUGUGAUUCCGCCGGAGGAGGGGUCUGCGUUCUAUCAGCUUGUUGGCGAGGUAACGGCUCACCAAGGCUAAGACGGAUACGGGGUGUGAGAGCAUGCCCCCGCUCACUGGGGCUGAGACACUGCCCAGACACCGACGGGUGGCUGCAGUGGAGAAUCUUCGGCAAUGGGCGCAAGCCUGACCGAGCGACGCCGCGUGCGGGAUGAAGGCCUUCGGGUUGUAAACCGCUGUCGAGGGGAAUGAAGUGUAGGUAAGUCAUCUUAUCUAUUUGACAGAUCCCUGGAGGAAGCAUGGGCUAAGUUCGUGCCAGCCGCCGCCGUAAUAC
rnacentral:rRNA from 1 species